rnacentral:rRNA from 1 species
CCUACGGGGGGCAGCAGUGGGGAAUAUUGCACAAUGGGGGAAACCCUGAUGCAGCGACGCCGCGUGAGUGAAGAAGUAAUUCGGUAUGUAAAGCUCUAUCAGCAGGGAAGAAAAUGACGGUACCUGACUAAGAAGCCCCGGCUAACUACGUGCCAGCAGCCGCGGUAAUACGUAGGGGGCAAGCGUUAUCCGGAUUUACUGGGUGUAAAGGGAGCGUAGGCGGCAUGGGAAGUCUGAAGUGAAAAGGCGGGGCUCAACCCCCCGGAUUGCUUUGGAAACUGUCAGGCUGGAGUGCUGGAGAGGUAAGCGGAAUUCCUAGGGUAGCGGUGAAAUGCGUAGAUAUUAGGAGGAACACCAGUGGCGAAGGCGGCUUACUGGACAGUAACUGACGUUGAGGCUCGAAAGCGUGGGGAGCAAACAGGAUUAGAUACCCGAGUAGUC